GACUCUCGACAAGACUCUUGCAUCGAUGAAGAACAUAGGGAAAUGUGAUACUUGGUGUGAAUUGCAUAAUCCCGUGAACCAUCGAGCCUUUGAACACAAGUUGUGCCUAAAUUCAUGCGAUACUGGGUGUUG
rnacentral:rRNA from 2 species